AUUGAACGCUGGCGGCAGGCCUAACACAUGCAAGUCGAACGAGUGGCGGACGGGUGAGUAAUGUCUGGGAAACUGCCUGAUGGAGGGGGAUAACUACUGGAAACGGUAGCUAAUACCGCAUACCAUCAGAUGUGCCCAGAUGGGAUUAGCUUGUUGGUGGGGUAACGGCUCACCAAGGCGACGAUCCCUAGCUGGUCUGAGAGGAUGACCGGCCACACUGGAGCAGGUACACGGUCCAGACUCCUGCGGAGGGCAGCAGUGGGGAAUAUUUCGCAAUGGGCGUAAGCCUGAUGCAGCCAUUCCGCGUGUAUGAAGAAGGCCUUCGGGUUUUAAAGUACUUUCAGCGGGGAGGGGUUACCCGCAGAAGAAGCACCGGCUAACUCCGUGCCAGCGGCCGCGGUAAUAC
rnacentral:rRNA from 1 species